CUGCCGGGCAAUAAAAAUGGACACACAGCAGAAACAACAUGGCGCUGGCAGAAGGCAACGGUCCGGGACACCGGCACAGAAGCACUCGCCAAUGUACGGGCAACCUGAUGCCGGCGCCUUCCCCCCUCCCACGCCUCAGGCCUCACCGGACACUGGACUAGGAAUAACAGCAUUUAUUCUUCCUUCUGGUUGUACUCUUUGUGUCUUAACUAUUUAUGAGGUCGAGUUGUUUGUGCAGUUUGAUUAUUUUGCUGGCAGGGCGGUAGGCGGAGCACCGGCGACCUGUGCCUCUUCAUAAUUCAACGGUCGGGCUGACAAUCCGGCCAGACGGAGUGCACACACAUUCAGAGGAACGCGCCGUUCAAGUGAGAUCGCAGUGAGCGCCCACGCAACGAGUUUUGUGCAGCGUGUAGGGGAUCACUCGAUGGGCUGUACACACGCAGUGAGUAGUGAAUAUUAAUGUACUAGCAGUGUAAAUAGAUAUGUAUACUCUUGAUUUGCAGCCACAGCUGAUUUGUUAUGGUUUUAAAAAGAACUUAAUGAAAAUCAAAGUAAAGGCCGAUCGGCCCUGUGCCCUGCGGGUCCUAUAUACCCUACAGACUCGCUACAGACUGUGCUUGGGAUCCGCUCGCUACUUUGGCCUAGAAUGGCUGGAGCAUUUCUUGUGGAUUCACAGUCAACGUUCAACGUACUGCAACAUGCAGCAGCCACCAUGAGUUGUAUUGCAUAGCUAAUCACAUCACUUACAGUUCCACACAUUAUAUUAGUGAAUGCUUUGUGUGAAUGUGUCUGACGUCUGCCUAAGUCUGAUGAACGUGAUUAUAUAGUGGAAAGAAUUAUUUGGCCCAGCCAUCUUAUGUGCAUAUUUACGUACACACUUAUAUAGGGAAUUCUUUACACUUUUGAAGGCUCUACGGAGAGAUGCAACUCAUAUACACACAUAUCUGCGACCUUUCCAGUCGCCUUCUCGUGCAGCUGCUAUCCACUACCUGCUCUGGGUAGGGGCCUUCCAAAGCUACAGGCAAACAAUUGCUGCAUUCCAGAAGUCACCGCUAAAACGCCGCAACGCUACAGGACCUGAGCGCUCCCAGUCGUUGCUUCGCUUCUACAAGCAGCACCAACGGCGACGCUACAUCUUGGAACACUUUCAGCGUUCCCUUCCAUUCGGUAUAGUACACUCCUUCACGUCUCUCAAUAUAUAUGGUUCCACGUGAAAAUCCCUACACAGUUUAAUCAGCUGCUAGGCACUGCAUAUUAAUAUUUAUGAGUAAUAUUGACGAAACAAUUCAGAAGUGACUGAUUUCUCAUCCGUGGGGCUGCCUUGACAGCGAUCUUAGUGAGAAUUGUUGACUUCUAGCGACUCAGCGACUUCUACUCUGAGCGCUUCUCGUCGGUGCGUUAAGCACCUGGUGGUCUCGCUACAUAUAUUGGUCUUCUCGACGGUCCAAUUAAAACACGGCAGGAGAACAACUACGAACUACGGUUGAACAUGGAAACGGCUAUUAGUUCGUUCAGCUUCGUAAGGGACUUCUCAGGGUUGCGCUCGCAAAUACAUUGGAACCAAACACGCUCAUCGUUUCACCAUCCAUAUUUAAAGCUCUACGGAUGGAACAACUCAGAGGGGAUAAAUGCACGUAUCAGCUACCAGGUUAUAUUUAACAUUUAAGUACUACCUCGUCAAUAUCUUUUCCUUGCAUCUAGUCUUCCAGCUAUAUAUGCUGUUAGUCUGUAACCGCUCCAUAAAGGGUCUGGCAUACCCAACAGACUUCGGAUCCUCUCGUUACGUAGACUACUGACUCGCUAUGCCGGUUAGCUGCACAGGCCAGGGGGGUGUCCUUUAAGCAUCAAGAGAAACGUGAGGCUACAGGAAUCUUCGCAUAGAUCGCAUACAGUCCAUCUGUAUCGAUGUCGCUUUCCUAGCUAUAGGCGAUCUCUGCAAUCUCUGAAUUGCUCAAUCUAAACGAAAUUUCCGAACACGAAAUAAAGGAAUAACCGAUUCCGGCUCCUCCCAGAGGACAUAGCAAUUAGCAUCGGCCUCCAGGAACUGCUUCUGCUCAGCGAGAUCCGAUUGUAGGUUCUUCUUCUAUCUCCUCUGCCUCUCCUUGCUCCACUGAAUACUGAUCAUCCUGUGCAGACGGACCUGGAAUUCGAGGGAACACUCUUAAAAGAAGAUCGAAACUCCUUCCUAAGUUGUGGCUUGGAAGGGACUGGAACAGGGUAUAAAUGACGUCAAAUGGAACAUUGUCAUUUGGUGCAUAGUGAGGACUUAAGUGCAAUUGCAGACACACACACAUCCGGAUGUAUCGAAGGAAUGGCAGUUCAUUGUGGCUGCUAGAAGAUGUUGGAUAUCAACGACGAAAGACAAGUAUCUAAGGGGUCAACGCGAGGAAGGGAAUACGCCUCAGGGCGGUUGAUGGGACUCUUACGGAACAUACUAUAUAACUCUUAAACGAAAAGCAGUCGUAAUUAAACUUAUACUUAAACGA
rnacentral:sRNA from 1 species